CUGUCAGUAACGGUGUUAAGAUUAAAAUCAAAUCCCAAAAUUAGGAAAAACAGAACGACACCCUCUCUACGGAGGGGAAAGAAAAAGAAACGAGAAGACCCUGACUCCUCUCUCUCUCGACUUCCGUUGACGGUUUCUUCUUCUCUCACACUUUCAACUUUCCAGAGAAUUAGCUCGUACUGUAACCCAAGGAGCUUGCAUUGAUGCUUAUAAUUCAAGAUUUCGGAUUGGAUUGUGAUGAUCGGGGUAAGAAGGCUUGUUUUUCGAUAGCAAGAAGUGAGUGAGGGAGUGACUCUGGCAUCUGCAUUGUUGGCGUGGCGAGCGAGGUGGCCUAGAAGAAAGCUGAAGUGACGUGCUGGUGCAAAUGUCAAAGUUUCCCUCCUCCAAACCAGAAGAAUAUGCAUCCUCAUCUGCUUCUGAGACUAAGUUAGUAUCCUUCUCUCAAGUUAAGUUAGCUCAUAAACUCUACAUCACUCUGCUAAUAUUUUAGCCACGGGUUAACUUUCUAUUCCCUUCCUGCUAUGAGAAACACAUUGCCAUAACUGUGUUGAUACUGAGCCAAAAAGAAAGGCAAGUGAGAUGAAGUUCAAAACAAUCUAAUUUAAAGAAUAUAUCAUUGUGUUAACUGCUCUAACCUGUAGUUCUUGAGAAUUAAAUACUAAUUAAUUAUGUGCUAAUGGAUUGGCUGAUUACAUGUAGGGAAUCAGAUGGAGCACCCGAAAUGGAUGGCCCUGAAGAUACAAUUGCUGCAGUUGCUCGAUUCUUUGAAAAGCUGCAUUCCAGGAUAACUUCACAACCUGAAAAGGAACUUGUAACAGCUUGCCUGCUUCGCCUUGCCAAAGCAAGAAAGGAGACAAGGACAGUCAUUGGUUCUCAUGCCCAAGCAAUGCCAUUAUUCAUAUGCCUUCUCAGGAGUGGUACUUCUGAAGCAAAAGUUAAUGUUGCUGCGACUCUCAGUGCUGUGCAAAGAUGAUGGUUUACGAGUGAAGGUACUUCUUGGUGGGUGCAUACCACCUUUACUUUCACUUCUGAAGUUAAAUCAGUUGAGGCUAGGAAGGUUGCAGCAGAAACUAUAUAUGAAGUGUCCUCUGCCUCGGUCUCUGAUGAUCAAGUCAGUAUCAAGAUUUGCCACAGGUGUGACACCGACCUUAUGGGAACAGCUUAAUCCAAAGAACAAGCAGGACAAAGUGGUUCGAGGGUUUGUUACUGGGGCACUGAGAAAUCUUUGCAGGCACAAGGAUAAUUAUUGGAGAGCAACGCUUGAGGCUGGAGGAGUGGAUAUCAUCGUGGGUCUUCUCUCUUCUGACAAUGCCGCUGCCAAGUCCAAUGCAGCUUCUCUAUUUUGCCCGUCUAAUGUUGGCAUUUGGUGAUAGUAUAACAAAAGUAAUUGAUUCUGGAGCUGUGCAAGCUUUGCUUCAGCUUGUGGAUCAGAAUAAUGAUUUUCUGUUCGUGCUAGUGCUGCUGAUGCUUUGGAAGCUCUUUCCUUAAACUCCACAAAGGCCAAGAAAGCUAUUGUAGAUGCCGGUGGUGUUCCCAUUCUCGCUGGUGCCAUAGUUGCUCCUUCUAAAGAGUGUAUGCACGGGGAGUUUGGCCAGGCUCUGCAGGGGCUUGCGACAUGAGCUCUAGCAAAUAUCUGUGGCGGGAUAUCUGCCUUGUUAUUAUAUCUUGGAGAACUAUCACAGCCUCCUCUUCUUGCUGCUCCAUUUGUUGAUAUCACCGGAUCACUUGCCGAUGCUUUGAUGGUCUUUGAGCAAAAUGCUGGUGCUGAUGAGGAAAGUUUUGAUGCAACCAAAAUAGAGGAUUUACCAGGAAAGCUUCAGGAGCCACAUUAAUAAGCUCUUUCAGGAACGUGUCCUUGAGGAUAUGGCAAGCCUGCGUGGCAAUAUCUACCUCUCAAGAUGUCUUGAUCAUGCAGAAGCAAAGAAGGUCCUUGUUAGGCUCGUAACAAUGGCUGCUGGGGAUCCACAGGAGUGUCUAAUACUUACUUUGACCGGCCUAUGCUGUGACAGGGUAGGCAUCUGGGAUGCCUUUGGCAAGAGAGAAGGAUUCAGUUGCUAAUAUCAUUACUGGGAUUAUCCAG